GAGCCCCGCGAGUGUGGGGAGAUGUGGGCAGAGGCCAGAGCAGGGAGCCUUUUCCAGGAGGUGCUAAAGGGUCUGGACCUCUGCCUACCUCCCCAGUCUCCUGUCGCAUAUGCGCCCACGCCCCAGAUCCAGUACACGCGCGCACACAGGAAUAUGCGCAGAGACGCAUGUUCGUGCCUACUGGUUGGCCCGUCACAACCCCAAGCACAUGUAGCGGAAGGGAAGAAGGGGACAAGGAAGUACAAAUGAGAACCAGGGAGAGAAGCAGGACUGGGGAAGGCACUCUGCCAGGACGCCGGGCGCGUGGGCGGGAGAGCCGAGGUUGUUGGAAGGGGACGGACAUUCUAGCAGGCUCCUGCGGGCUCCCCCUUUGGGGCAGGCACAGACAGGAAUGGAGACAGCUGGUCAGCAGAGGUGGGGGGGGGGCCUAAGCAGCAGCUACUAGCUCAGCCUCCCGCCACUGACCAGCUCAGCUCAGGAUGUGUCUGUGUGUGUGCAGGGUGGUGGUGGUGGUGGGGGGGAGUCAACACCCACUUUCUGACAGUCUCCACUCCUGGCCCCUCCUUUAGCUUCCCUUCUCCGAGCGACCACAGAGGCUGGGACACUGGCCACCGGAGGUCCCUGAGAAGCUGCUCUGGUGUGGCCCUACAGGAAAACAGGGUCUGGGGGCCCCGCCCGGCUUUCUGCCCUCCAGGGUGCAUACACUGACCAGAUGUGUCCCUGGACAUCCUAGAAGGCAUGAGAGCUGUCCUGAGGGUGAAAGCAUGUGUCAAGAUGGAUGUUUCAUCAGCCCGAUCCUGGAGAGUCUACGACAAGCAAAGCCUUCCUGAUGACCUAUUUUGGUUAUACAUCAUAAUAGAACCAUUUGGAUUUUCAAUUUCAUCUUGUAUCAGUUUUGUCUUUCAGAAUUCCCACGGAGCAGACCGGCCGCUCGGGGGCUCUGUCCGGGAGGGCUGAUGUGCAGUACAAAUCUGCGUGCACAACGCAUAUUUCUGGAAUGGACAUCUCGGAACCUCCACGAGUCUUUGUGUGUGUUCCUUGUGAAGAGGACGUCCACCUGACUGCUCCAGGGACCGGUCCCCGUGGCGAGGGGCAUUGUAGACACCUGUCUCACCUAUACCCUGCUGACCGCCCAUGGCCUCGUUAUUAGCAGUAUGACCUCGAGCAAAGUGAUUUGAGCCCCGUGUCUGCGUGAGACUGCUUCCAAAGACGAUUGGAGCCAUUCCUUCCAAACUGCAUGUCCUUUGCAGUGUGACUCUGAUGCUCCCUGCUUGGUGACCUCCCUUCUCCUGGAACCCGGGCUGGGUCUGUGAGCGUCACUGACCCGCUGGAUGUGGGGGAUGUGAUGCUGUGUCACUUGCGGCUUCCGCGCCUGCCUUCUGGGAAGCCAGCCGGCCCCUGGAUCAAGAAGUUUGAGCUCUCCUGCCGAAGACAGAGGUCACAUGGGGGACGGCUGAAGUGCCCCAGCUCAUGCCCACUCUGAGGUCCCGGCCAUGUGACAAAGCCAUCGUGGUCCUUCAGCCUCAGCCGGGCUAACCUGUGGAGCAGAGAUGAGCUGUCCCCGCAGAGCUCUGCCUGAAUCCACCAAAUGGCGGUAUGAUAAAGAUGGGGAUGUUGACGGUUUCCUGCCUCACAGAGGGCUGGGAGGAUCAAACCUGUCCAUCCAGGGAAAGCACUAGAACAGUGUCAGCAGGUCGUAAGCUCUCAGCAAAUGUUAGCUCCUGCAACCUGCAAUUAUCUUGCUUAGUUCUUGCUUGGUCAUCCCCAAACUCCGCCAGCAUAUAGCAGCUGCCCAGUAAACACAGCUGAAUAUCAAAGGUACCCUCCUUCAGGAAGCCUUCUCCGAUCUCCCUCCACCAGAGGGAGAUCACUCUCCCUCCCCAUGCCCACUGCCUCUAUCAAUGCCCUUCUGUGAUGUAGGUUACAUUCAACCCCAGCUCCAGCUGCUGGUUUCCUCUGGAGACGGUGAGCUCCUUGAAGGCAAGACCUUGCCCAUGAUACAUGAGCAAGAAAAUUUGUCGAAUGAAUAAAAACUAGGAGCAAUGCCACCUGCUCUAUCAGCCUCAGCACUUAUUGGAAUUGAAAUGAGAUCAAUAAAGGUGGACUUGGGCACCUCUGGGUUUCCUCUAUCUGGCUGUCGUCCUUCUGCUUCUGUGUCUUCUGGUCCCAUCUGUGUGAACUUUAUCCUUUAGGGCAGGAGAGAAGCCAACUCAGGACUCUUGAAGGAAGCCUCCCAAUUUCCUGGCCCGAGGGCUGGCUGACCUCCCAGGCCGCAGAAGGACGAGGUGUGAGGUCAUAGACCUGGGAGGGAGCCGAUGACCCAGCCCAAGUCCCUUCCCAUUGUUGAUGGAUGCCUAAAGGUCCACCACUAGAUGAAAAAAUAAUUGAUUCCUAAAGCGUGAUUCAAUCCGGUGUCAGUUUCCCAUCUCUACGGCUUGCCUGGUCAAAAGGCGCUGCUGGAGUAUGAAAGAAUGCAGGAUUCCGUCUGGUUCAAAGAUAGAAAUGGCUUGACUCAUCCGAAGAGGCAAAAACAUGCAGAAUGAAAUCGGGUGGCAGCGUUUCCUGGGUGGGAAUGGAACACCUAACUCAGAGGGAGGCACCCUAGGCCAUGUGACACCUCCUUUGGAUUCUGGGGUCACUGACACAGCAGUGAUGGGGCAGAGGAGAAGUUCUAGAAUCUCAGAAGGGUUGGGAAGGCAACACCCAAAAUGGCGUGAAACGAAGAUGACAGUUUCCUUGUGUGUUUGGCCUGGAAUGUUAACUGAGCCAUGAUCACGUUCAAGCUACUGCGUUCAGAAUUGUGGAGAUCCGAAAAUCAACGAAGAUCCUUCCAUGAACGAAGGUCCUUCAUUCAUUUGAUUCAUCCUGCA